AUGGUGAAGGUCAUCAGAGGAAUUGCCCUUGGCGGUGCCGGUGUUGUAGGGCAGCUGGACGCCCUGAAAUUCCAGUCGCUCCCUUACCUCAUCAACCUCGACCUCAGCGACAAUCAUCAUCUCUCUGGUGCCAUCCCACCUGCCAUCGGUUCUCUUUCCAUGCUUUCCACCCUCAACUUCUCUGGUGAUCAGCUUAGUGGGCACAUACCUGCAACAAUCUGCAACCUUGGGAGGCUUGCACAUCUGGACCUCUCCAGCAACAAUCUCGCUGGCCAAAUCCCUCCUGCCUUCGGUAAUCUCUCAAGACUUGCUUUUCUCUAUCUACCUGGCAAUAGGCUCUCAGGUAGCGUCCCAUGGAACCUAGGAUAG
rnacentral:rRNA from 1 species